rnacentral:rRNA from 1 species
AACGAACGCUGGCGGCAGGCCUAACACAUGCAAGUCAAACGGAUGUAGCAAUACAUUAGUGGCGCACGGGUGCGUAACACGUGGGAAUGUACCCUAGGGUAAGGAAUAGCUACUGGAAACGGUAAUUAAUACCUUAUAAUGACUCCGGUCCAAAGAUUUAUCGCCCUGGGAUCAGCCCGAGCCUGAUUAGGUAGUUGGUAGGGUAAUGGCCUACCAAGCCUACGAUCAGUAGCUGGUCUGAGAGGAUGAUCAGCCACACUGGGACUGAGACACGGCCCAGACUCCUACGGGAGGCAGCAGUGAGGAAUAUUGGACAAUGGGGGAAACCCUGAUCCAGCCAUGCCGCGUGAGUGAAGAAGGCCUUAGGGUUGUAAACCUCUUUCAGCACCGACGAAGCGCAAGUGACGGUAGGUGCAGAAGAAGGACCGGCCAACUACGUGCCAGCCGCCGCCGUAA